UACGGAGGGUGCAAGCGUUAUCCGGAAUCAUUGGGUUUAAAGGGUCCGCAGGCGGUCUUAUAAGUCAGUGGUGAAAUCUCGCAGCUUAACUGCGAAACUGCCAUUGAUACUGUAGGACUUGAAUGUGGUCGAAGUGGGCGGAAUAUGACAUGUAGCGGUGAAAUGCUUAGAUAUGUCAUAGAACACCGAUAGCGAAGGCAGCUCACUAGGCCACGAUUGACGCUCAUGGACGAAAGCGUGGGGAGCAAACAGG
rnacentral:rRNA from 1 species